CCUGGUGGUCUAGUGGUUAGGAUUCG
rnacentral:piRNA from 9 species